rnacentral:misc_RNA from 1 species
GGCACUGGAUAACCUCCAUAUGGGGCAUAUGGAGCAGGUGGCGGCAUGUACCCAGGUGCUCCCCAAAUUGGUGCUGGGGGUGGAUACGGAGCAGGGUUUGCAUAGACAGUGUGGGUAUAGUCGCCUCCCGUCCGCAUGCGCUUACUUUGGUCGAAGGAGCUGGUGUCAGCUGCCACACCUCUUUUGACAUAAAGAUUCUUCUUAGCCAUCUCGACAUGAAGCACCGAAUUCAUCGCCGAAUCAAAGAGCAAGUUCUCGACGGCCGCUUUGGCGCCCAAUGCAUUCUGGGAAGUGGAGAAGAG